GGCCAGUUAGCUCAGUUGGUAGAGCAGCGGAUUGAAAAUCCGCGUGUCCGUGGUUCGA
rnacentral:tRNA from 1 species